rnacentral:rRNA from 1 species
UACGGGGGGGGGUAAGCGUUGUUCGGAAUUACUGGGCGUAAAGGGCUCGUAGGCGGCCAACUAAGUCGGACGUGAAAUCCCUCAGCUUAACUGGGGAACUGCAUCCGAUACUGGAUGGCUUGAAUUCGGGAGAGGUGAGUGGAAUUCCGAGUGUAGAGGUGAAAUUCGUAGAUAUUCGCAAGAACACCAGUGGCGAAGGCGGCUCACUGGCCCGAUACUGACGCUGAGGCACGAAAGCGUGGGGAGCAAACGGG